CAGUUAUGACUGUUGAGAAGAAGUAAAGGGAAGCAGUGUGGCGAGGAAGGUUGGCGUUAAGUGCAAAAAGAGGGAAAAGUGUUCCCGUAGCUCAGAAAUGGAACCCUGGCGAGAGUAUAGAUGAAGUUCCUGCAGUGAGAACCACCGUGGAAGGGCCUCGGUCCGAGGAUGUAAAGGAUGAUUAUGGCCCAGUGGAAUUAAGAUAUGUGGAGAGAAUGGAUCCUUGCAUUUUGGCUGAUCCAAAUGUGAUGCCCAGAGGGAGCGGACGCUCUGGAUCACGCGAAUAGGGACAAGAAAUGUGACUUGCUUUGCUGUUGGGAGCAGGGCACGGUUGUAAGGAGUGAUAACUGGGGUGGCAUUAAAUGUUGAAGAAAAUCAAAUGAAAGUGAAGAAUCCCGGUCUCUGUGUGACUCGUCGUUUGGUGAAACGCAGAUCCGGUGGAGAGCGUGGGGAAACAGAGAAGACGUCUUUUCUGUUGAGUUUUGAUGUAGAGUCUUUGCCAGAUAAGGUUAAGUAGGGAGUGUAAGUUAUCCCAUGAGAGUGUUUGUUCCUAAAAUACUUAGGUGUUUUAGGUGUCAGGCUUAUGGUCAUGUUGCAGCAGUAUGUAGGAGGGAGAGUCCUAGAUGUGAGAAGUGUGCAGGAGGGCAUGAGACGAAGGAAUGUGUAGUUUUGGUAGAGAAAUGUGUGUGUGUUAGUUGUGGGGGUGCCCAUGUGGCUGAAGAUCGGAGGUGUCCGGUGAGAGAAAGUCAGGUUGAGGUUGCUAGGGUCAGAGUAGUACAGAAAGUGUUGUAAGCUGAAUCAGUGAAGAGAGUGGCAGAGGACUUGGAUUGCAAGGAUUUUCCUGCAGAACAGUUGCAGGGGGUGUUGAGUGGUAGAGUUCUGCCCCCCCCCGGACCGUUGGUCUGGAGUAGGAUUAGAUAGGUUAAAUACCGGGGUGGUGUUAUUUUUAUUUAAUUUUUUAAAGAGAAGGCUAAUAGUUUGCAGGGUAAUUGUUCAUUUUCCCAAAUGUUAUAGGACUCUAUCACAAAGAAUUGAAUGUAUACUUAACAAAAAUAGAAACAGAGUUACACAAGCAUUUCGCUACCCCCACAAUAACAUCUGCUAAACACGUGUACGUGACCAAUAAAAUGUGAUUAUAAGGAAAUCAGUCAAUUUAAAUAAAUGCAUUAGGCCCUAAUCUAUUGGUUUCAUAUGACUGGGCAGGGGUGCAGCCAUGGGUGGGCUUGGGAGGGAAUAGGCCCACCCACUGGGGAGCCAGGCCCAGCUAAUCAGAAUUAGUUUUCCCCCACAAAAGGGCUUUAUGAUAAACAGAAAUACUCCUCAGUUUCAUCAGCUGUCCGGGUGGCUGGUCUCAGACAAUCCCGCAGGUGAAGAAGCUGGAUGAGGAGGUCCUGGGCUGGCGUGGUUACACGUGAACUGCAGUUGUGAGGCCGGUUGGACGUACUGCAAAAUUCUCUAACAUUAUUAAUAUUCAAUUCUCUGGCAACAGCUCUGGUAGACAUUCCUGUAGUCAGCAUGCCAAUUGCAUGCUCCCUCAACUUGAGACAUCUGUGGCAUUGUGUUGUUUGACGAAAUUGCACAUUCUAGAGUGGCCUUUUAUUGUCUGCAGCACAAGGUGCACCUGUGUAAUGAUCAUGCUGUUUAAUCAGCUUCUUGAUAUGCCACACCUGUCAAGUGGAUGCGUUAAUUUGGCAAAGGAUAAAUGCUCACUUACAGGGAUGUAAACAAAUUGGAGUACAAAAUUUGAGCGAAAUAAGCUUUUGGUGCGUGUCGAACAUUUCUGAUAUAUUUUAUUUCAGUUCAUGAAAGAUGGGACCAACACUUUACAUGUUCGUUUAUAUUUUUGUCCAGUAUAGGUAGGUCGUGAAUGGUCUCACUCCAGUACAGUAGGUGGCAGUGUAUGCAGCUUAAAUUGGAUGCGAUCCGCCAAAGCAAUCCAAAGUAAGGAGAUGAUUCGAAUGGAUGGAAAUGACCGAAACACAUUGAAGAACACAUGGGGUUCAGCAUAUCUCAAUGAGUCAAGUGUCCUUGAAGUCAAGAGAUGCAUGCUGACAAUAAAGUGGGUCGGCAUCUCAUCGUGUCAGAUGUCCUUGAUGAACUCACAUGAUGGGGUGUCUAUUGAGACCAGAUGCAUGACGACAAUGAAGGGGAAAGCAUAGAAACAUAUUGACAGUUUCUGUUAGAAAUAGAUCCCUCUCACCUCUGCUGUAAUAGCCUACCUGGUUUCGUACCACUUCCUGGUUCCAACGCUUGUCCUGAUGGAGUGAAGGAGCAGAAUCAAACCGUUGAUGUUUUGACUGAUGUAUAUUCAUAGAAAUAGAUUAAAUGUAAUCUAUAGUGGUGUAUUGUCAUCAAGAGAACCAUUUGUCAAAGAUUCAGUGAAGUUUGAUAUUAUCCACUUCCUCAAGGAGAAGGUAGCAAGCAACAAACGCUACAAGCAUGAGAAAUGUGUUCAUGACAGAAAGUUAUUGCAAUGACCUUGCAGGGGAUCUGUAACGACCAUAUCACGUUUGUAUGAAUGUAUUUCUGGAAUAUACUGUUCUCUUAGUGGCGUAAACUAAUGUGGCAUGUUGUCAGAACUAAUUUUGCCUUUUGUCCAUGAUUCAUCAAUAAAACUAGUAAACAAA